rnacentral:rRNA from 1 species
UACGUAGGGUGCAAGCGUUAAUCGGAAUUACUGGGCGUAAAGCGUGCGCAGGCGGUUUUGUAAGUCUGUCGUGAAAUCCCCCGGGCUCAACCUGGGAAUUGCGAUGGAGACUGCAAGGCUAGAAUCUGGCAGAGGGGGGUAGAAUUCCACGUGUAGCAGUGAAAUGCGUAGAGAUGUGGAGGAACACCGAUGGCGAAGGCAGCCCCCUGGGUCAAGAUUGACGCUCAUGCACGAAAGCGUGGGGAGCAAAC